CUACCAACCAAUCUUUACCAUUCAGUGAUAACAAACACUUUAUUUUACAUUUUAAUAUUUUAUGAUGUAUUUAAAAGAGUAGUUAUUGUUGCAAACUCCAUUAGAAAUUUGAAUUAAUAUCAGUUUUGGAAAAAGGGAAGCGGGGAUGUGAAAAAAAAGGGGGGGGGGGUUAAAUUUUUCUCAUUUCAGAUUUCAUAAAUAAAAAGAAAAUUUCUUCAAACAUUUUUUUGAGAGGAUUAAUAUUCAACAGCAUAGUGAAUUGCUCAAAGGCAAAAAAAACUUUUAAGUUCAUUAGACCACAUUCAUUCUGUGUCAGAAACCUAUGCUGUGUCAACUAUUUAAUUUUAGAUUUAAAAAGUUUGAAGAAGAAAUCUUUAAUUGAUUUGUAAA
rnacentral:lncRNA from 1 species